rnacentral:rRNA from 1 species
CGGCGGACGGGUGAGUAAUGCCUAGGAAUCUGCCUGGUAGUGGGGGACAACGUUUCGAAAGGAACGCUAAUACCGCAUACGUCCUACGGGAGAAAGCAGGGGACCUUCGGGCCUUGCGCUAUCAGACGAGCCUAGGUCGGAUUAGCUAGUUGGUGAGGUAAUGACUCACCAAGGCGACGAUCCGUAACUGGUCUGAGAGGAUGAUCAGUCACACUGGAACUGAGACACGGUCCAG